AUAUUGUAAUUCAGUUGAUGUUGUCAUGGGGAUCCCUUCCUCUAAACCUAGGUCUGUUAAACCCUUCGUCUAGCCUAGCCCUAGGUCUGUUAAACCCUUCAUCUAGCCUAGCCCUAAGUCUGUUAAACCCUUCAUCUAGCCUAGCCCUAGGUCUGUUAAACCCUUCAUCUAGCCUAGCCCUCGGUCUGUUAAACCCUUCAUCUAGCCUAGCCCUCGGUCUGUUAAACCCUUCAUCUAGCCUAGCCCUAGGUCUGUUAAACCCUUCAUCUAGUAUGCCCUAGUUAGGUCCGUUAAACCCUUCAUCUAGCCUAGCCCUAGGUCUGUUAAACCCUUCAUCUAGCCUAGCCCUAGGUCUGUUAAACCCAAUCCCUAACAGAUGCCCUUUAUGUUUGCAUUCAGAAGUUCAGAACCCAUCCUCUCCUCUGGAUGGUGCUGUGUAAAUUGGACACUGAUUAAUGUGUCCAGUCUGUGUAGCUAUGGGCCUUUAUACCACCACAACCACUCCAUCUACUGGACCACAUGGUCACUUUGACAGCACCAUAAACAUCAUGUGUGGUUCUGGAGGUAAACCCUGUCAAUAGAUGGACUCAGAGAGUGUGUGGGUCUGGAGGUAAACCCUGUCAAUAGAUGGACUCAGAGAGUGUGUGGGUCUGGAGGUAAACCCUGUCAAUAGAUGGACUCAGAGAGUGUGUGGGUCUGGAGGUAAACCCUGUCAAUAGAUGGACUCAGAGAGUGUGUGGGUCUGGAGGUAAACCCUGCCAAUAGAUGGACUCAGAGAGUGUGUGGGUCUGGAGGUAAACCCUGUCAAUAGAUGGACUCAGAGAGUGUGUGGGUCUGGAGGUAAACCCUGUCAAUUGAU